rnacentral:rRNA from 1 species
CCUACGGGGGGCAGCAGUGGGGAAUAUUGGACAAUGGGGGGAACCCUGAUCCAGCCAUGCCGCGUGUGUGAAGAAGGCCCUCGGGUUGUAAAGCACUUUCAGUGAGGAAGAACGCCUGGUGGUUAAUACCCAUCAGGAAAGACAUCACUCACAGAAGAAGCACCGGCUAACUCCGUGCCAGCAGCCGCGGUAAUACGGAGGGUGCGAGCGUUAAUCGGAAUUACUGGGCGUAAAGCGCGCGUAGGUGGCUUGAUAAGCCGGUUGUGAAAGCCCCGGGCUCAACCUGGGAACGGCAUCCGGAACUGUCAAGCUAGAGUGCAGGAGAGGAAGGUAGAAUUCCCGGUGUAGCGGUGAAAUGCGUAGAGAUCGGGAGGAAUACCAGUGGCGAAGGCGGCCUUCUGGACUGACACUGACACUGAGGUACGAAAGCGUGGGUAGCAAACAGGAUUAGAUACCCUGGUAGUC